rnacentral:rRNA from 1 species
AGACGUGGCGACCCCGCUGAAUUUAAGCAUAUUAGUCAGCGGAGGAAAAGAAACUAACCAGGAUUCCCUCAGUAACGGCGAGUGAACAGGGAAGAGCCCAGCGCCGAAUCCCCGCCCCUCGGUGGGGCGCGGAACAAUGUGGCGUACGGAAGACCCACUCCCNGGCGCCGCUCGUGGGGGGCCCAAGUCCUUCUGAUCGAGGCCCAGCCCGUGGACGGUGUGAGGCCGGUAGCGGCCCCCGGCGCGCCGGGCCCGGGUCUUCCCGGAGUCGGGUUGCUUGGGAAUGCAGCCCAAAGCGGGUGGUAAACUCCAUCUAAGGCUAAAUACCGGCACGAGACCGAUAGUCAACAAGUACCGUAAGGGAAAGUUNAAAAGAA